rnacentral:lncRNA from 1 species
GAGGUCAUCCAGGGAAGAUGUUCACACACUCGGCCGUAUCUCUUUCAGGAGUCUUUGUUGGAGGAGAAUCCUGAGAAGGCCUUCUAUGGCUCUGAGGAGGACGAGGCCAAAGGCCCUGGAUCAGAGGAAGCGGCCACUGCGGCGCUGCCUGCUCGGAAGCCCUAUGUAAUGGAUCCAGAUCACCGGCUGCUGCUGCGGAACACCAAGCCGCUACUGCAGAGCCGCAGCGCCGCCGUGGUCAUGGCGGUGGCACAGCUUUACUUCCACCUGGCGCCCAAGGCAGAGGUGGGCGUCAUCGCCAAGGC